CUUCCCAGUCCCGCCACUACUGUACCCGCUGUGGCGGAUGGCGACAAUUCCAAACCCUUUCCCGGGGGUGCUGGACACAGCACACCCUCCCAGGUCCUCAGGGCUCGUUGCCCAGGCUGUGUUAAUCCCCAGGGAGGAGGAGGAGGAGAGCCUGGCUUGCACCCCCAUGCAGGGCGGGCGGGGAAAGGGUAUCGCUAGCAGCAGAUGAAUAUUGAUUGUCUGGUAUGGAGAUUUGUCGGAAAGGACAAGGAAAAUGGCAUUUCAUGAACCAGAGAUGGUGACUUCUUACCCAAGAUAACGCCAAAAGCUGCAGAUUUAGCAUAUAUGCAGAACCAAAACCAUCACAAAGAGGCCCUUGAGAUGGAAACCACCUCUCCUGUACAGAGCUGCUUCCCAUCCCACAAGUUAACACUCCAGAAUUCUAAAUGCCUUCUACAGGCCAUAUGUGAGCAGGAGACUCCUGAUACUCCUUUUGAAGUACUUUGGAAAUGCAAGCAUAUGGAAAUGUGUGUGAAGACCACUUCCACUGCUGGUUUGAACUCGGCAGCGCUCUAGCAAAUGGGAUUUACAAAUGUUACCACAUAAUUAUACAGCUUUGACAAGUUCUGUAGGGGAACACCGCCCUCCAGCAUGUGUUGGGUACUUCUGAAGUUCACCAGGGAAAACCUCCACUUCUGAUUUCAAACUUUACUUUCCUGUUUCAGCAACUACUUCACAUUUUCAAGAAGUAUGACAGAAUGUGGUAGGACAAAAUGUUCUGAUGCUGUUUAAGCCAAGGGCGUGAUGCAGGUGUAAAUAGAAUUUAAUCAAAUAUUUCAAGUUAAAUUGGAUGACAGAUCUGGUCAAGGCCCCUCAGUAACCAUUUUCCUGUUUCUUCUCUUUUUCUCUUCUUUUUUUUUUUUUUGUACAUUCUUUCACAAGGAGUCAUAAAAUAGAUAUUACUGACUUUAUAUUAUAGAUACUAAUAUUUAUUUAUUUAUUCAUAUGAUUCCUUGAGAGAAGUUUAAUUAUUGGCACUCAAAUUUCUUAACCUGUUCUGCUGUCAUCCACAGAAUCUCUGUAGCUCUUUGCACUGAUAGCUUUUUUUUUUGAGAAGGCAGCUCACCUUGUGCCAUCAAUGUCUAAACAAGAUUGAUACUUGACUCAAGUUUAUGGAAAAAAAAUAUAAUCUCACAAAAAAGUGGCAUGAACUCCAUAAAUCCUUAUUUCAUAUUAAUGUUUGUGGAGUGAGUAUGGUAGAGCAAAAUUUGACAGGAUAUUUUUUUUCCAACCAAUAAUGCACUUUUUAUGUGCUUAUUUCUACUUUUAGGAGUUAAAGGUUGCAUGGACAGCUGGUGAAAUGAAGGAGGAGUUAAAAUCAUAUGUUACAUCUUCAUUUACUUCUAAGAGCAGAACAAUGAAACUUCUGAUGGUUUUGUAUACAUAUUAUCUUUAUUAUGCUGGAUGCUACCUACUUGGAGUUUUUAACCACACCAUUUUCUAAAUUUCACUUUUCUCUGCCCAGCGAAAAUGAUUCAUAAAUAACACCUUAGCACUUCUGAGAAUUUUUUUAUUUUGUCUUUAAUGUUGUUAAAGCACAUUUUUUAAAGGAUAGUGAGCAUCAUUAUGCCCAUCAUAUAGGCAGAAAAUCUGCAGCAGAAAGAGGUUAAAGGACUUGCCAGAAGGCACAGAGGAAAGCAGAAGUAGCAGACAACCACCCACAAGUCCAAGGAUAAUUCUGUUCCUCAGUAUUAUCGUUCUGGAAGGUAGGAAUGAGAAGUAUUGCACAGCCUCUUCUCUGCAAGAAGUCUUCUCACAACAUGGCUAAGUUUGGCUCUCACUGCUCUUUCCUGCUUAGCUGAUACAGUUUCAGCUUUUACAACCAUAUGUGAUAAGAGCUAACCUUAACAUCUAUAGAAAUUGGUACUUAAAGGACCUUGUUCUGAUGUUAUUAAUAGCAGAAGAAUUUGGAAGAUCCCACUGCUGAGUGUCAUCUUUGCUAGAUAAAGUUUCUUACUAAACUUAACUGCCGUGGAAGUGAAUAAAAAGACUGGAAAAACUAUUUUACCUAACACAUAACAGUUUAAAUUAAUGUUUUGCAGGCACCUAGAAGACAGCAGCAAAACAAGACAGUAAAUGGUUCUUAAUUCUAAAUAAAUUUAACAAAUUUCUGUAGCAGAGUAACAGCAGAUGUUAAGUUUACUGACUUUCAAGAAGGUUUUAGUAGCAUUUUAUUGUAACACAUAACAAAUUAAAGAAAGAGGGACCUAGAUGAAAAAAUUUAAAGGCAAACAAACUACCUGGGAAGCCACAGUUCAUGAUAAUAUCAAGAUGGAAAGAUCUUUCAAAGUUUCUGCAGCAGUCUGUUCAGCUCCAGGUAGGGAGAAAUAGAGUGGUGAAAGACAGUUUUGGUGCUUAAAAUUAUUCCAGAAAUGGGAGAAAUGAUCUUUAGGCUGAGUGGGGAUGGGAUGAAUGUCAGUAGAAACAACUGCAGUAUGCAAAGUUUGGGUAGGAAUAAUCAGCCAUACAAAGGCAGGUAGGGGAGCAACCAGGUAAAUUGUGUAUGGACAGGGACCUGCAAAUUGUUGAGACUAAAACCAGAAGUAAAUAUAAUUAUACUGUUGAAAACCAGCAAAAUAUAUACCAGGUGUACCAACAGGUUUGGUUUUUAAGAUACACUCAUCUUACUGA